CCUACGGGAGGCAGCAGUGAGGAAUAUUGGUCAAUGGCCGAGAGGCUGAACCAGCCAAGUAGCGUGAGGGAAGACUGCCCUAUGGGUUGUAAACCUCUUUUAUGCGGGGAUAAAGUGUUCCACGUGUGGAUUUUUGCAUGUACCUCAUGAAUAAGGACCGGCUAAUUCCGUGCCAGCAGCCGCGGUAAUACGGAGGGUCCGGGCGUUAUCCGGAUUUAUUGGGUUUAAAGGGAGCGUAGGCGGGUUGUUAAGCGUGCCGUGAAAUUUUGUGGCUCAACCAUGAGAGUGCGGCGCGAACUGGAGACCUUGAGUGCGGGGAAGGCAGGCGGAAUUCGUGGUGUAGCGGUGAAAUGCUUAGAUAUCACGAAGAACCCCGAUUGCGAAGGCAGCCUGCCGAAGCGUGACUGACGCUGAAGCUCGAAAGCGUGGGUAUCGAACAGGAUUAGAUACCCGAGUAGUC
rnacentral:rRNA from 1 species